GCCCAGAUGGUGGAAUUGGUAGACACACCAUCUUGAGGGGGUGGCGCCAGAAAUGGCGUUCGGGUUCGAGUCCCGAUCUGGGCACCA
rnacentral:tRNA from 1 species